rnacentral:rRNA from 1 species
AUUGAACGCUGGCGGUAGGCCUAACACAUGCAAGUCGAACGGCAGCACAGUAAUAGCUUGCUCUUACGGGUGGCGAGUGGCGGACGGGGGAGGAAUACAUCGGAAUCUACUUUUUCGUGGGGGAGAACGUAGGGAAACUUACGCUAAUACCGCAUACGACCUACGGGUGAAAGCAGGGGAUCUUCGGACCUUGCGCGAUUGAAUGAGCCGAUGUCGGAUUAGCUAGUUGGCGGGGUAAAGGCCCACCAAGGCGACGAUCCGUAGCUGGUCUGAGAGGAUGAUCAGCCACACUGGAACUGAGACACGGUCCAGACUCCUACGGGAGGCAGCAGUGGGGAAUAUUGGACAAUGGGCGCAAGCCUGAUCCAGCCAUACCGCGUGGGUGAAGAAGGCCUUCGGGUUGUAAAGCCCUUUUGUUGGGAAAGAAAAGCAGCAGGUUAAUACCCCGCUGUUCUGACGGUACCCAAAGAAUAAGCACCGGCUAACUUCGUG